UAAGCUGAAUCAACAGAUAUGCUAUUGCAAUCGCUCUGCCCUACCUAACCCUCUACUUUUCUGUAACUACUUAGCUUAUCCCAAUAUAUUCGCCAGGGGACUUCCCUAGACUUUAAAUGGGGUCGACUUUAAAAUUGUUUCACUCGUACGAUGUCGGCUAUGAUUACGGGGUUUUUUUUUUAAUCAAUGUGGACUCUGCUUCUGAUACACGUAUGAAUAGAGCCAACUGAGGUUUAAAGCAGCCGUCAGUGUAAUAUCACGCAUCCGUUUACUGCGUCAGCGUUGGAAGACGAACUGUGACAGGCAACAAAAAUAGAAGAUGCCACGGUAGCAAUACAUGAGGACUCAUUCAUUUCAAUAGACGCCGACGGUGCCGACCACGUUCACAGUAUAAGAAAAAAGCCUGAACUUGCUACUUGUGCCUACUCCAGAUGGCGACAGGCUGCACAACAC